rnacentral:rRNA from 1 species
GGGCCCGCACAAGCGGUGGAGCAUGUGGUUUAAUUCGAUGCAACGCGAAAAACCUUACCAGGCCUUGACAUCCUGAGAACUUUCUAGAGAUAGAUUGGUGCCUUCGGGAACUCAGUGACAGGUGUUGCAUGGCUGUCGUCAGCUCGUGUCGUGAGAUGUUGGGUUAAGUCCCGUAACGAGCGCAACCCUUAUCCUUAUUUGCCAGCACGUAAUGGUGGGAACUCUAAGGAGACUGCCGGUGACAAACCGGAGGAAGGAGAGGAUGAUGUCAAGUCAUCAUGGCCCUUACGGCCUGGGCUACACACGUGCUACAAUGGAAGGUACAGAGGGCCGCAAAACCGCGAGGUGGAGCAAAUCCCAAAAACCUUUCGUAGUCCGGAUUGGAGUCUGCAACUCGACUCCAUG